GACGAACGCUGGCGGCGUGCUUAACACAUGCAAGUCGAACGAGAAUCUAUGGAAUGCGAUUUCGGUCAAGUGAAGUAGAGGACAGUGGCGGACGGGUGAGUAACGCGUGAGGAACCUGCCUUUCAGAGGGGGACAACAGUUGGAAACGACUGCUAAUACCGCAUAACGCGUAGAGGUCGCAUGGCCUUUACGCCAAAGAUUUAUCGCUGAAAGAUGGCCUCGCGUCUGAUUAGCUAGUUGGUGAGGUAACGGCCCACCAAGGCGACGAUCAGUAGCCGGACUGAGAGGUUGAACGGCCACAUUGGGACUGAGAUACGGCCCAGACUCCUACGGGAGGCAGCAGUGGGGGAAUAUUGGGCAAUGGGCGCAAGCCUGACCCAGCAACGCCGCGUGAAGGAAGAAGGCUUUCGGGUGUAAACUCUUUGUCAGGGAAGAGUAGAAGACUGUACCUGACGAAUAAGCCACGGCUAACUACGUGCCAGCAGCCGCGG
rnacentral:rRNA from 1 species